rnacentral:rRNA from 1 species
AAGUAACUGGCGAGUGAAGCGGGAAAAGCUCAAAUUUAAAAUCUGGCGGUCUCUGGCCGUCCGAGUUGUAAUCUAGAGAAGUGAUGCCCGCGCUGGACCGUGUACAAGUCUCCUGGAAUGGAGCGUCAUAGAGGGUGAGAAUCCCGUCUCUGACACGGACUACCAGGGCUUUGUGGUAUACUCUCAAAGAGUCGAGUUGUUUGGGAAUGCAGCUCUAAAUGGGUGGUAAAUUCCAUCUAAAGCUAAAUAUUGGCGAGAGACCGAUAGCGAACAAGUACCGUGAGGGAAAGAUGAAAAGAACUUUGGAAAGAGAGUUAAACAGUACGUGAAAUUGCUGAAAGGGAAACGCUUGAAGUCAGUCGCGUUGGCCGGGGAUCAGCCUCGCUUUUGCGUGGUGUACUUUCUGGUUGACGGGUCAGCAUCAAUUUUGACCGCUGGAAAAAGGUCGAGGGAAUGUGGCAGCUCCGGCUGUGUUAUAGCCCUUGGUCAUAUACAACGGUUGGGAUUGAGGAACUCAGCACGCCGCAAGGCCGGGUUUCGACCACGUUCGUGCUUAGGAUGCUGGCAUAAUGGCUUUAAGCGACCCGUCUUGAAACACGGACCAAGGAGUCUAACAUGCCUGCGAGUGUUUGGGUGGAAAACCCGAGCGCGUAAUGAAAGUGAAAGUUGAGAUCCCUGUCGUGGGGAGCAUCGACGCCCGGACCUGAACUUUUGUGACGGACCCGCGGUAGAGCAUGUAUGUUGGGACCCGAACGAUGGUGAACUGUGCCUGAAUAUGGUGAAGCAAAACCAGACUGUGGUGGAGGCGCGGAUCGAUUCUGACAUGCAGUGGGUCGACGAU